GAUGAACGCUGGCGGCGUGCCUAAUACAUGCAAGUAGAACGCUGAAGGCGGAGCUUGCUCUUCUGGAUGAGUUGCGAACGGGUGAGUAACGCGUAGGUAACCUGCCUGGUAGCGGGGGAGAACUAUUGGAAACGAUAUCUAAUACCGCAUGACAACAGUUAUGGCAUGAUAACUGUUUAAAAGGCGCAACUGCUCUACUACCAGAUGGACCUGCGUUGUAUUAGGUAGCUGGGGUGGUAACGGCUCACCAAGGCGGCGAUACAUAGACGACCUGAGGGGAUGAUCAGCCGCACUGGGACUGAGACGCGGCCCAGAAUCCUGAGGGAGGCAGCAGUAGGGCACCUUCGGCAAGGGGCGGAAGGCUAACCGAGGAACGCCGCGUGAGUGAAGAAGGUUAUCGGAUCGUAGAGCUCUGUUGUAAGAGGAGAACGAGUGUGAGAGUGGAAAGAUCACACUGUGACGGUAUCUGACCAGAAAGGGACGGCUAACUACGUG
rnacentral:rRNA from 1 species